GUAGGUGGCAAGCGUUGUCCGGAAUUAUUGGGCGUAAAGCGCGCGCAGGCGGUUCUUUAAGUCUGAUGUGAAAGCCCACGGCUCAACCGUGGAGGGUCAUUGGAAACUGGAGAACUUGAGUACAGAAGAGGAAAGCGGAAUUCCACGUGUAGCGGUGAAAUGCGUAGAGAUGUGGAGGAACACCAGUGGCGAAGGCGGCUUUCUGGUCUGUAACUGACGCUGAGGCGCGAAAGCGUGGGGAGCAAACAGGAUUAGAUACCCUGGUAGUCCACGCCGUAAACGAUGAGUGCUAAGUGUUAGGGGGGGUUUUCCGCCCCCCUUAGUGCUGCAGCUAACGCAUUAAGCACUCCGCCUGGGAGUACGGCCGCAAGGCUG
rnacentral:rRNA from 1 species